GUAGUCCUGGCUGUAAACGAUGUCGACUUGGAGGUUGUGCCCUUGAGGCGUGGCUUCCGGAGCUAACGCGUUAAGUCGACCGCCUGGGGAGUACGGCCGCAAGGUUAAAACUCAAAUGAAUUGACGGGGGCCCGCACAAGCGGUGGAGCAUGUGGUUUAAUUCGAUGCAACGCGAAGAACCUUACCUGGUCUUGACAUCCACGGAAGUUUUCAGAGAUGAGAAUGUGCCUUCGGGAACCGUGAGACAGGUGCUGCAUGGCUGUCGUCAGCUCGUGUUGUGAAAUGUUGGGUUAAGUCCCGCAACGAGCGCAACCCUUAUCCUUUGUUGCCAGCGGUCCGGCCGGGAACUCAAAGGAGACUGUUAGUGAUAAACUGGAGGAAGGUGGGGAUGACGUCAAGUCAUCAUGGCCCUUACGACCAGGGCUACACACGUGCUACAGUGGCGCAUACAAAGAGAAGCGACCUCGCGAGAGCAAGCGGACCUCAUAAAGUGCGUCGUAGUCCGGAUUGGAGUCUGCAACUCGACUCCAUGAAGUCGGAAUCGCUAGUAAUCGUGGAUCAGAAUGCCACGGUGAAUACGUUCCCGGGCCUUGUACACACCGCCCGUCACACCAUGGGAGUGGGUUGCAAAAGAAGUAGGUAGCUUAACCUUCGGGAGGGCGCUUACCACUUUGUGAUUCAUGACUGGGGUGAAGUCGUAACAAGGUAACCGUAGGGGAACCUGCGGCUGGAUCACCUCC
rnacentral:rRNA from 1 species